rnacentral:rRNA from 1 species
GUGCCAGCAGCCGCGGUAAAACGUAGGAUCCGAGCGUUAUCCGAAUUCACUGGGCGUAAAGCGCGUGCAGGCGGUCCGGUAAGUUGGAUGUGAAAUCUCCUGGCUCAACUGGGAGAGGACGUUCAAUACUGUCGGACUCGAGGACGGUAGAGGGAGGUAGAAUUCCCGGUGUAGUGGUGAAAUGCGUAGAUAUCGGGAGGAAUACCAGUGGCGAAGGCGGCCUCCUGGACCGUUCCUGACGCUCAGACGCGAAAGCUAGGGGAGCAAACGGGAUUAGAAACCCCCGUAGUCC